rnacentral:lncRNA from 1 species
AAAAAAAAGGGAUUUGGUGAAAUCCCUAAGCUUCACGGGGUGGCAACAAAAGGGGUCGGUGGCGAACCGCGAUCAUCCUUGGCCGAGGCGGUGGUGCAACCUAGGCGGCGCGAAUGGCUUAAGGGACUGUGCAACUCGUGAAGGUGGCUACGAGGCCAUGGACUUGGGACAACCCGACCCACUAGAUGAUGGCCCGCGUCUGGACGAGUUCUGGCAGCUGGAGGCGUCGCCUCCUCGCACAGUGUGACAAUGGAGUCGCCGGAGAGCCAGGUGUUAGUGGUUGAGGAGCAUCCCGUGAAGAGGUGUUUGGGUACAUAGUAAUAUUUGUGGUUUACGUUGUACCAAUUGGGUGUUAUUGUGAUUUUGUUUCAGAGUUUAAAAGGGUGUUCUUGAUUCAAUUUACUGAUUGGGAUAGUGAUCUGUUUCUGAUUUAGCCAUUAAGAAGAAUGCUUAUGAAUGCAUAGGAUACUAAUUUUUUUUGAUUUACUAAUGUAAAGGAUAUUUAUGAGUCCGAGUAAAGAAUGGUGUGAAGUAAUGCUUAAAGGGA